rnacentral:rRNA from 1 species
GUUGACCUCGGAUCAGGUAGGGAUACCCGCUGAACUUAAGCAUAUCAAUAAGCGGAGGAAAAGAAACCAACAGGGAUUGCUCUAGUAACGGCGAGUGAAGCAGCAAUAGCUCAAAUUUGAAAUCUGGCGUCUUCGACGUCCGAGUUGUAAUUUGUAGAGGAUGCUUCUGAGUAACCACCGACCUAAGUUCCUUGGAACAGGACGUCAUAGAGGGUGAGAAUCCCGUAUGCGGUCGGAAAGGUGCUCUACACGUAGCUCCUUCGACGAGUCGAGUGUGUGGGGAAA